AACCCUCGCACCAUUCCAUCUCACCACCAACAAUAAUGGCGAUGCCUCUUCAUCAUUCCCUUUUACCUAUCGUCUUGUUGGCAUUUGUCUCAGUGUGUUCAUCGGGAAGGGCAUUGCCUCCCUUUCACCACAAUGGAAAGCCUUUACCAGGAGCUCACCCUCCUACCCUUCCACCGCCACUACAAAGCCCACAACCACACUUCCCUUCUCCCUUAAUUCACAAGCCCCCAUUGGAGAAGAAGCCUCCUAUGAAAGACGCUCACCCUCCUACAUUUCCAAACCCACAAUCGCCCCACGCUUCUCCCCUUAUUCCAAAGCCGCCAUAUUUCCACAUACCCCUACCCUUGUCUCCUGCUAAUGCUCCUCUCUAUCACAAGCCAGGUUCCCCUAUAUUCAAUGGCCCUGGUGAAGCUUAUCCUCCCUUGAUGAAAUCUCCUCCCAAGCCAGUAAUAAACCCCCCACCAAAGCAUGGACAAUACAAUCCUCCUCCCAUGCAUAACUCUCCUCCACCUCAUCCUAUUUAUUAGACAUAUUAUAGAAAGUCCGCGGAGAAUAUAUAGACUGUAAGUAAAGGAGAGCUGGUUUAGAUUGUAAUGAACAAUAGUAGUAUUACUACAUGUUGGUUGCGCUGAUGAGAAAGAUGACGGGAUACCAUGAAUUAUUUACUUGUAGAUGUUGUUAUCGGUAUAACGCAGAAGCCCGGGCUUGUCUAUCUAUUAUCGUAUUGUUAUGCUAUAAAUAAAUUUAUAUUUAGCACGUCUUGCACUAUUGUAAUGGACUUUCCUUUGUUAACAAAUAAAUUACUUGCCUGUUCAAUUUUAUAUAUUUUUAUUUA